GCGGGGGAGGCGGUGGGAAUGGAGGUGCGGCUGCCGGGAGAACGGCCCGGCCACACCCCUUGGAGAGGGUCCCAGAGAAGAGCUCUGGCGGCUGAGCAUGUGGGGGAUGUAGGUGCCGAGCAUCCGGACAGGGACCUCGGGGAGGAAGGCAUUUGAGACCAGAGCUCUACCCUGACCCUGCCAGGUUGGAGUGCCUUGGGAGGUCCCAGCAGGGAAGUCGCACCGGCACCUGGUGGCGGGCCUGGAGCCAGGCUGAAGGAACGCAUGCUCCCGGGAAGGAGAAUUUGCAGGUGGUGGAGACCCUAGGAUCUUUCAUUAGUAAAGAAGUCAGUGGUGCAGAAGGCUGGCCCUCUGAGGGGACCCCAGCCAGAGUUUCCCAGUGUCCAAAGAGAGACAGAGAGAGCAUGCCGGGGGAGCAGCAGAGGCAGAGGGAGAAGCAGAUUGCCCGCUGAGCAGGGAGUCUGAUACAGGGCUCGAUCCCAGGACCCCGGAGACCACAAUCCAAGACGAAGGCAGAUGCUUCACCAACUGAGGUCCCCGGGUACCCCAGAACUUGUUCACCUUAUAACUGAAAGUUAGCACCUGUUGACCAACAUCCCCCAUUGCCUGUAUCCCCCAGACCCUGGCAGCCACCAUUCUAUUCUCUAUAUCAAUGAAUUUGACUUUUUAAAGAUUCCCCAUGAGUGAGAUCAUGCCAUUUUUGA